AUACUUUUACCUGGCAGGGGAGAGACCACGGUCACGAAGGUGGUUUUCCCAGGGUGAGGCUUAUUCAUUGCACUCCAGAUGUGCUGACCCCUGCGAUUUCCCCAAAUGUGGGAAACUCAACUGCAUAAUUGUGGUGGUGGGGGACUGCGUUCAUGCUUUUCCCUG
ensembl:snRNA U1 U1 spliceosomal RNA